ACGAUAUCUAUUGAACCAACAACGUUGUGCCACCCCCGUCGUCUACACAAGGCAAAGCAGCACUGCGCCUGCGCCCUGGCCAAGAGUGGGGGCGGAGUCUCCUGUGUUGUUGUUACCUGUUGUGAGUACUGCGCUCAGGAGCAGACAGCCAGCACUGCUUGCAUCAUUUGACUGAGAUUUAAAUAGCUAUACAUAACAUGCUUCUCCUGGAUACACAGCACCCAAUCGGUCAUCACGUCAGCUGCUCCCUACCUAUCAACUCAGUUAAGCCACUUCUUCUCAGCCAGUAACAGGAGAGGCCUCAAAUCAGACACAGACCAAUGGUUUUGCUGUCACUAAGGGAGGGAAAUACAGAGAGCUAUUGAAGAUCCGUGUAUCCUGUGGACUACGGCGAUGACCAGUGUUUUUUAAUGUUAAUAAAAUGGUUAACGAGCACUUGUGAGGGAGUG